rnacentral:rRNA from 1 species
CACGUAGGGUGCAAGCGUUGUCCGGAUUUAUUGGGCGUAAAGGGCGUGUAGGCGGGUAGGCAAGUCGGGCGUGAAAUCCCUGAGCUCAACUCAGGAACUGCACUCGAAACUGCUUAUCUUGAGUGCCGGAGAGGAAAGCGGAAUACCUGGUGUAGAGGUGAAAUUCGUAGAUAUCAGGAGGAACACCGGUGGCGAAGGCGGUUCUCUGGGCAUGUCCUGACGCUGAGGAGCGAAAGUGUGGGGAGCGAACAGG